rnacentral:sRNA from 1 species
AACUACAAGUCAGUUAGCCUGCAAAAAGCUCAAGAUAGGUUCCUUCCCCUUUAACUUCGGGUCCCCUAAUUCCAAGGUGAGAGAGUUUUGCUGGCAUGCCCUCAGUUGGAAACCAAACCCUUGUCCUUUCCCUUGUAUGCACACCUCCAAGAUGGGUCUGCCUCGGCCACUCCGCACCCCUCUGCCCAUCUGCUGUGAUGGCUCAGUGCCUGCUCACGAGUUGGUGGGAGCCUGUGGAGGUGCCAGGCAACAAUGUGUUUUGAUGGGCAGCCUGCAGAAGGUGGCAAUUGCCAUCUCCUGUGAGUGAAGGCCAUGAGCGGUGCCAACCCUGGCAAGCCAGGUCUCCGUAUACUUGUUUACACCUGUUGACUCUUCUGUGCCAAGAAAAGUGUACCCUAGCCGGGGACAUGGAAGAGAGAGGAUGCUGGCAGGACCCUAACCCCUGUGGGUUUCCUUGCAACAGAAGACCUCAGAGAGAUCCCCAUCAAUGAGGCUCGAGCCUGUGUGUGUUCCUAGAUGGAACUGCUCUGUGUCUCUUUGUCUUUUGUACUAGUGUGUGAUACUCAGGAAAGGAGGCUCAGCUGUGGCAUAGGUAUAAUCCACACAGACAUAAGCCCUCUCUCCAAGCCAGAGAAAAGAUCCAGGAGAAAGCCAGGCUGUGCUGACUCCUGGUAGCAUGUCCAGGCUUCUCCUCUAUUCUGUGUCCACCCAUCCUGGAGAGCCACCAACAGCCCAGCUCCCAAGUCAGACAGGUCUGGUUUUAGGGCUUAGUGCAAACACUGACUGAUGUCCUAGCCAAGGCCUAAACAAACAGCUCUACAGAUCUGUGACCACUGGAGCCUUUCCUUUUCCUGUGGACCAUACUUAGGCACUGACUUCAUUGGUCAGGACCUGCUGUAGCCAUGAGGCUCUUCAGAACAGGACCAGUGAGUGGCUACAGUCUGGGAGGUGCGUACUGACCUUGAGAGCCAUAUUUACAUGGGGAAAGUGGCCACAAGUAGCUUGUUUGGGUACUACUCUGAUAUUGCUAGGUUUGUGGAAUGCAUAGUGGCUCAUUAGACUCAGAGUCUGUGGCAUACUUAGGACAAAUCCAGAGGUUGGAAUGUCAUGUGUAGGAAGAUGCUAGCUCUACAGUCGAAAGCCACCGAUAGACAAUUGGAAUACUCGAGAGACUUCCAAGGGUCUCCCCAAGGAAUGCACUGAGGACUAAAGGCAGGUGUGGAAGGAAAUAAAAAGCAGCAAAGUAUUAGAAGAAAACUCACCAGCAAAAUAUUGUGCCUCCUAAGGUGGAGGAGGUGGGGAAAGACAUUGAACAGGAUGCAGGGAACAUGGAAGGUGUCUUGGAAAUGAGGAAAUUCAUGCAAGAGCUGUUUUGGACAGCCAGGACUUCCAGGGAGAGUUUAGGCCUCCAAAGCACCUGGAGUGCCAUCAUGGUCACUUUUCUGCUGUCAUGACAGAAUACCUGGACAAAAGUAACUUAUGGGAGAAGGAUUUGGGCUAGAGAUGGAUGGUAUCCAUCACAGAGAAAACGAUAAGCAGGAAAGGUAUGGAGCCAGGAGCAGGGGCCCAGCUUGUCUCAAUCCUACUCAGGAAGCAGAAAAUGAAGCGAAAUUGGGGCCUGGGUACAAGACCUGAAGGCCACCUCCAGCAGUCCACUUCCUCCAUCAAGGCUCUACCUUGUAACGGUUCCACAAACUUCAAACAUCACUACCAUCCAUAGGCCAAGUAGUCAAAUGCAGGAGCCAAUGGGGAACACAUCUCACAUUGGAACAGUAACAGUCACAAAGAGAGAGUUAGUGGACAGACCUCCUAAGACCAAGCUUUUGGGUUCAUAGGAGACCCAGAGACCCAGAGGAGUACCAGCCUCCUAGAAAUCAACCCAUUCAGCUCACAAAAUAUGUUCUCGCUUGCCUUGGGGACCUGGCAGUCCCACCUAUUCCUUCCACCCAGCAUCUAGCCCAUGGCUUCUCCACUGAUAGACCAAGAACCAAUUGGGGAACAGGACCUUACCAUCGGAAUCACCCCUACAGUGAGAAGUUCUCCAACACCACCGGGACAUACUGUGCUGCCACAAACCACGAACCUGUGAGCAAGUUGGAACAGGCAGCCAAGACAAAGCUUUCAGAUUGGUCCCAGAUACUUGGCACAGUAAAGGAAAGGUAAGGCACUAUCAAAAUGUCUCUAAGCUCGUGUCAACCAGCCCCCCAACCUGAUGCAUUAGAAGGCUGAGGGAACUUCGUAUUGAGGGAAGACCUCAAGGUAGCAGAGGGAUAAUCAAACAAGUGUAGAAGACAUGGGCAAGCCAAAUGCAAGACGGAGAAGCAAGAUAGCAGGUAAAGAGCCAUCGCUGUAUCUGUCAAAGGGGGGCAGAUGGCCAAAAGCCUGCCUCAGGUGGAAGCGUAUAAAUCCACCUUUGACCUCGGCAGUGUCACCCUAGCUCAGGUCCUGGGUAGUUGAGUGUUUAGAUGACCAGGACACAGCUGUUCUUUUCAAACAACAACCAUAAGAAUUCCACCCCAGGGGAAACGAAGGACAGGUUGCCUCACAAGGAUGCAGUAUAAGGAAAUGAGCUCUUUCCCACUCAGACAAUUUGUCCAAUCAGCAAAUGGCAAACCUAGAGCCAGCCAAUCCGAAAGCAGCCUGGAACUCUGGCAGUCUGCUCCGCUGAACGUGCUGUAACGGUGGAGACAGUCACUAGUGACUAAUAUGUUAGCUGUUAACAGCUUCUUAAGUGGGAGGAUGGGGAGUUCUGUGACUGUGCUUACAACCGCCGAAGAGAAGUGAGAUGUCUCGGUCUAGGAAGAUGUGAAUCGGGCAGCUACAUUUGCCCCGGGUUAAUUUAUUUGGCUCCAUCAUGGAGGAGCCACUGUUCAAGUUACCGGAGGGCUUCCCCUUCCUGAAAAUCAGUAAAGAAGCUGAAGCGAUGCUUUAUGAACCAUGACUUGCUUCAAGACACAAAAAGAAAUAGAAAAAUUCUAAAAUGGAGUCUCGGGGCCUAGUCCUUAAAACUCAGCCGGGAACGAAGGUAGAGUCUUAGGAUACCCAUAGUGUGAGGUCGGCAGACACAGCCAGCUGAGAUUGCAAGUGGCACCAGCCUAGCACUAAAUUAUCAGUAUCUCACUAUCAGUAUCAGCGAUCCAAGGCCCUGCCUGCUCUGCAGCUCAUUGACUAGAUGUAGCUACCACGUGGGAGGGGGUGCUGGUCCCACCCCAGCCUUCCCGAGAGAAGCCCCGGGCAAAGUUCUAUGCCUCUGUGAAUGGAGCUCAUGGAAGAGAGAAGACUGAAGCAACUGCAAAUGAGUAACAGAAUUCUUCAGGAGAACCAAGGAUGUGGAGAAGGACACAGCCAGGGAGGGCGACUCUGGAAUGCUGGGAAUAAUGGUGACUUGGCAAGGGGGCAAUCCCUCAAGAACGUAACAUUUGAACAAAGACCUGAGAAAACGUGAGCCAGGAAAUCCCAGCGUGGGUGAAGGCAGCACAAAGGCCCCGAGGCAGGAUGGGAUUGCUCUCGCUCAAGAGAAGGAAGAAUGUUGGUGUGACCAGAGAGAGAGGGCAGAAGACAGAGAGGACCGAAGCCUGGUCAUGGGCCCUAACGGGCCACUGCAGAGACUUGUGGUCUUCAUCACAAUCUUGGGGAAUCUUAGGAGGGAAAUAACCCCAUUCUGUGCUACA